CUGCGGUGAUACGUUUCUUAGGACACCUUUGGAUUCACCCUGAAAAGUAAUAAAUUCUGAGCGGC
rnacentral:snoRNA from 1 species